AGAGGAAGUAAAAGUCGUAACAAGGUUUCCGUAGGUGAACCUGCGGAAGGAUCAUUAUUGAAUUAUAAGCAAGGGUUGUAGCUGGUCCCUCGGGGCAUAUGUGCACGCCUGAGCUCUUAAUCCACUUACACCUGUGAACUUAAUGUGGGACGUCUCUCGGGACGAUUCUCAUGUCUUUCAUAUACCCUUAUGUAUGUCUCAGAAUGUCAUAUGUUGCUUUAACGCAAUUAAAUACAACUUUCAACAACGGAUCUCUUGGCUCUCGCAUCGAUGAAGAACGCAGCGAAAUGCGAUAAGUAAUGUGAAUUGCAGAUUUUCAGUGAAUCAUCGAAUCUUUGAACGCACCUUGCGCUCCUUGGUAUUCCGAGGAGCAUGCCUGUUUGAGUGUCAUUAAAUUCUCAACUCUACCGAUUUGUUUCGGGCAGAGCUUGGAUUUGGAGCGUGCUGGCCCUUCCCUGGGUCGGCUCCUCUUUAAAUGCAUCAGCGGAGUCUUCUUUGACUUCCGGUAUCAGUGUGAUAAUCAUGUUGCGCUGUUGGCCGAGGUCUUAGUCCGCUUACAAUGGUCUUCGGACAACAUAUC
rnacentral:rRNA from 1 species